UGGUGUGGGGUCCCCCGCACCCCCCUUUUAUUGUACUAACCCUGGCUUCGUCACUGUUACUGUCUGUUUGCUCCUAUAGAUUCAUAACACUGUAUACAUUAUGCCACAUUUUAUGCGCAAAAUAGUAAGAGAGAACGUAUGUGUCUUCCCACAGCAUAGCCUUGUCAAAUAUAUAGGUCACAUUGCAAAUAACCUGUUUUCAUCACUCCAGAUCAGUCAGUUUUGGCAAUGUGCAUGGAUGUUGAAUGACAAGAGAAAAAUAAAUGACACAAUAAGAGCGCAUAUGCGCAUAUAAAUAUUUUUUCCUUUAUAUUAUUAUUCUGGUAUAUGUGUAACAAAACAUCAUGCUGUGUUAAUGAAUAGGUGAUGACUGCAUGACAGUCUGUCACAGGGAGACAUGAAUACACGUGUGUUUGAGUUUGUGCUUAAAAUAUUAAUUAUCCAAAUGACUUAAAGCUAUGCAUUUCAUUCUAGGUGCAUGAAGUUUCUGUCAACAAUUCAACAACAGGACCGGUGACUUCCUGAAGUUCUAGUUGGUCCUCUGGAAACCUCAGUUACCACAAGGAGUGUUUCAUAAGACUGGUGGUCAAUGCCAGUGGUCAGUGUUUACCUCCUGGUAUUAAAAACUGCACAAUGACUUUGAGUAAUAUUAAUUUGUGUUAUUUCAGGCACCUAGCAAUCCCGCCAUCAAUAUAGCCAGAGAUGUUGUCAUCCGGUGUUUGAAGUUGUACCUUGGGGAAUAUGCUGAGCACCUCUUUAAAGAAUAUGAUGAUGCAGAUGAGGACAGUGUUGACAGGACCUUGCUGUACAAGGGAUGAAAAUCUACAGCAUCCAGACUAAUCCGUCAGAGGGUAGAGAGGACAUCGGAAUUGUGAUAGAAGGAACAAAGGUCCUGACUGGUCUGGGUAACUUUCCAAGGGCUUGUGCCAUGCUCAUGGGAUUGACGUGUGCAGUGGAUCUUGCCUAUCCCAAGGAACUCAGGUACACUUCUGAAGCCUUUCAGAAACUUUUCCUCGAGCUGGAUUGUUCAAAGCUUUCCCCAAAAGUGAACAGCCUCAAGAACAAACUGCUGGCUUAAAAAGGGACCCCUAAAUACGUUGGAGUGCUCCGUAAUUCUGUACUGCAGUUAAGUAUUCAAGUCUUAUUCAGAAAAAACACCUUAUCCAUACUCACUUGAAGCGUGUGAUGUUAUACUUUGGACUUAUAAUCGACACGACUCGAAGUAACUGUUUUUGUAGCUUGGUAUGGACAGUGAGAGUUGCACUAUGAAAACA